rnacentral:rRNA from 1 species
CCUACGGGUGGCAGCAGUGAGGAAUAUUGGUCAAUGGGCGAGAGCCUGAACCAGCCAAGUCGCGUGAGGGAAGACGGCCCUAUGGAUUGUAAACUUCUUUUGUCGGGGAGCAAAAACCGGUACGCGUACCGCACUGAGAGUACCCGGAGAAAAAGUAUCGGCUAACUCCGUGCCAGCAGCCGCGGUAAUACGGAGGAUGCGAGCGUUAUCCGGAUUUAUUGGGUUUAAAGGGUUCGUAGGCGGCCGGAUAAGGUAGAGGUGAAAUUCCGGGGCUCAACUUCGGAAUAGCCUUUGAUACUGUCCGGCUAGAGAGGAGUUGAGGUAGGCGGAAUGUAUGGUGUAGCGGUGAAAUGCUUAGAGAUCACACAGAACACCGAUUGCGAAGGCAGCAUACCAAGGCACUACUGACGCUCAGGCACGAAAGCGUGGGUAGCAAACAGGAUUAGAUACCCCAGUAGUC